rnacentral:rRNA from 1 species
CCUACGGGUGGCAGCAGUGGGGAAUAUUGGACAAUGGGGGCAACCCUGAUCCAGCCAUGCCGCGUGUGUGAAGAAGGCCCUCGGGUUGUAAAGCACUUUCAGUGAGGAAGAACGCCUGGUGGUUAAUACCCAUCAGGAAAGACAUCACUCACAGAAGAAGCACCGGCUAACUCCGUGCCAGCAGCCGCGGUAAUACGGAGGGUGCGAGCGUUAAUCGGACUUACUGGGCGUAAAGCGCGCGUAGGUGGCUUGAUAAGCCGGUUGUGAAAGCCCCGGGCUCAACCUGGGAACGGCAUCCGGAACUGUCAAGCUAGAGUGCAGGAGAGGAAGGUAGAAUUCCCGGUGUAGCGGUGAAAUGCGUAGAGAUCGGGAGGAAUACCAGUGGCGAAGGCGGCCUUCUGGACUGACACUGACACUGAGGUGCGAAAGCGUGGGUAGCAAACAGGAUUAGAUACCCUAGUAGUC